rnacentral:rRNA from 1 species
GAUGAACGCUGGCGGCGUGCCUAAUACAUGCUAGUCGAGCGAACAGAUGAGGAGCUUGCUCCUCUGACGUUAUCGGCGGACGGGUGAGUAACACGUGGAUAACCUACCUAUAAGACUGGGAUAACUUCGGGAAACCGGAGCUAAUACCGGAUAAUAUAUUGAACCGCAUGGUUCAAUAGUGAAAGACGGUUUUGCUGUCACUUAUAGAUGGAUCCGCGCCGCAUUAGCUAGUUGGUAAGGUAACGGCUUACCAAGGCAACGAUGCGUAGCCGACCUGAGAGGGGAAUAGGCCCAGCUGGAACUGAGACACGGUCCAGACUCCUACGGGAGGCAGCAGUAGGGAAUCUUCCGCAAUGGGCGAAAGCCUGACGGAGCAACGCCGCGUGAGUGAUGAAGGUCUUCGGAUCGUAAAACUCUGUUAUUAGGGAAGAACAAAUGUGUAAGUAACUAUGCACGUCUUGACGGUACCUAAUCAGAAAGCCACGGCUAACUACGUG